CUUUUGGGGUUCUGGGAUACCCGGAUGUAGGGAGGCGUUCUAGUCGCUUCCUUUCUCUCUCUCCCUCUCUCGCACGGCUGCUCAGCGCCGGCCGGGUGUCAUGAGGAACCGACGCGAGGGUCGCUGACGCUGUGUUGAGCGGCGCGCGCGCGCGCGGAGAAAGCGACUUUGUCCCUGCGCGGCAGCUUCUCCCGCACCUGCCCCCGCCUCUGCGCUCGCCUCUCCGUCGUCCCGAAACAGCUCGUGCUGCGGGCGGGCAGCUCGUUCCGUUCGCCUCUACCUCAACGUCCCAGAGGAAAUAUGUAAUGAUCUCUUUGGAUGCAAAUUUGUAAGGAAUGUGUUUUUCACAGAUCAGUACAUUUCUUCUACUGAGACAGAGUUCACUUACAAAACAGUACCUAAAUGGCAGCACAGAAAAGAAAAUCUGUGCUAGUAGAACCUCCAGCUAAGCAUCGGAAAGUGGAUAAGAAUAGUAAAUCAGUAACAACUAGCAAAGAAAGGAUAUUGCUUGAUGGCAAACAUGUAUCAAAUAAAAAGACAGUGUUGAAGAAAAAUAUGUGCAAAAUUGCUUCCAAAACUAACAGGUCACCUGUCAAUAAAUCCAUACAUAGAUCAUCUCAACCAUCUUCUCAAAUUAAACAAGCUCAAAAGCACUCCAAACCGACUUCAAAUGAAUUAAAGAAGAAAACAUGCAAAACAGUACAUGUGAAAAAAACAUCUUUAAAGUCUUUAGGUAAAUUAACUCCUACAAAAACAUCCCUAAAAACUUCUAAAACAAGCCAUACAAAAUACACAAACUCCUCCAAAACCUGUACUAGAGCUAAAGGAAAACCCAGUGUUGUCAAAAGUAAGACUUCUCAUGAAAGCAAGAAACAGAAGUCAUCUGCAGAAACAGUAAAGUGUUUUGCUGAAGCUAUAUGUAAUAGAUAUUCAGCAAAGUGCAAUAAAUCUACACAUAAGACCCGGUGUUCUGAAACAAAACAAAUAAAAAAUAAUUCAAAAAAGGAUAGAAAAGCUAAAACUGGAAAAUAUCUUAAAGGAAGCAGUGUUAGCUUAGAAGUUCAGAAUUCAAAAAAUCCUUGUGCAAAAAAGCCAGUGCUGCAAAAUCCUGGACCAAAACAGAGUAAAAUUUUCAGUGACAAAAAAUCUUGUGAUUCUGACCAGGGAAAAAUAACCACAAGGUCAAUGAGAACUAAUUCUAACAAAAGUCCUGUCGAUACACAAGAGCAGUUUCAUUUCACAAAAACUAGGGAAGUAUCUCAGAAGGAGAUGAUACAGGAUCUUAAUAAGUUGCAACAUAUUGUUUCACAUGAUGAGUAUCAAACCAGAAAAUCACCAAGACUGCAGCAAUCAUCAGUUGUGUCUACAAUAUCCUUGCGCAGUAAAAAAAUUAAAGAAGAACAUGCUUCUACAAAACAAUGUAUCCAGAUGAAAAGACAGAGUGGAUGUAUAAAAAAUGAAAAGAUGGUACAUUUUGAGCAGAAAAAAGAAGAUAAGCCCUUGAAAAAGGAUGAAUAUACAAAUCAAGAACAAAAAAUAAUAAGUAUUGAAAAAAUGGGUUCUCUGAAGGAAAAAAAAUGUGAAACAGAUUCUAAAAUUAAUGAUUUGACUGUUUCUCAAGAUAAGAUAAGUGAAUCAAGAAACCUUGAUUGCAUUCUUCAAGAAUCCGGGAAUGAAGCUAUCAACACAAUUGCCUGCUCUAUGACAUCAUCUUGCAAUGUAAUAAGUAAGGAAAAGAAAUCAGUACACAAAAAUGGGAAAAUCAGUGUAAAAGCUAAGAGAACUUUGCAGGCUCCAUUGAAUAUAAAACCUGCUUAUCAACCAGAGGAUAUGAUGAAGUCCAAAAAGAUUAGCAUCCUUGAGCUAUGUGAGGAAAUUGCAGGUGAGAUUGAGUCAGACACAGUGGAGGUAAAAAGAGAUUCUCCUAAUGCUGAAUAUGGAAAAGAGGGAGAAAGAGAUACAGUAGUGGAUUUGCCAAAGACUACAAUAUCUACUGAUGAGCAAACGAAACAGAACUCCCAAUGUAAGCGAUUUUUCCCUAGCAAAAAAGGAAUGCCUGUCAAAUGUACUGUGAAUGGCAGACAUAACACUACAAACAAAAACUCUAAAUGGACCAAAAUAAAAUUAAAAAAGGUUAAUCAUAUGAACCAAACUCUUUCAAAUUGUGCAAAUACUCCAGAACAUGCUUUUUUAAAGAGCAGCAUUCCAGAAGGAGGGCAAGCAAGAGCUGUAGAAAUAUACCUUCCAGAAACUCAAAGGAAAUUGAUACAAUCACAAAACAAUGGUAAAACAACUUAUGACCAGAAGUUGAAUACAGCUUGCUUGGAAGAAAUGCAGACUAAAGAUAGGAUAUCACCUGUUCAACAGUCCACUGUAAAAGCUGUAGAAAAUGGCUUGUUUGAGACAAAACAGUGUUCUGAGUCAACACCAGAUGAGAGCUUCGACUUACAUUUGGACUCAAGUCCCGAAAAUACACCAAUGAAAAUAGUUACAGCACAUCUUCCAGUGAAGGAAAUAAAAAAAGAUACAACAGAAAUGAAAUCACAAGGUCCAGGUCCCCAACAGUUGGUUCAGACUUUAUUUUCAAAUAAAAUCCCUGACACAAAUGAAAGCAGGGCAGAUUCUCCAAAGAUUUCAUUAGUAUCGAAAUGUGAUGGUCAACUUUCGUCUGAAGAAAAUAUUAAAAAAUUAAAAGAAGGAACAAAAGAUAGUGAUAAACAACUAAUCAUAGAUGCAGGGCAAAAAAGAUUUGGUGCAAUUUCCUGCAGUGUUUGUGGGAUGCUUUACACAGCUUCAAAUCCUGAGGAUGAAACUCAGCACCUGCUCUUUCACAACCAAUUUAUAAGUGCUGUAAAAUACGUGGGCUGGAAAAAAGAACGAAUUUUGGCCGAGUUUCCUGAUGGCAAGAUAAUAAUGGUACUUCCUGAUGAUCCAAAAUAUGCACUAAGAAAGGUUGAUGAAAUCAGGGAGAUGGUAGAUAACGACCUGGGAUUUCAGCAAGCUCCUCUUACAUGCUCCAGAACUAAGACUCUAUUAUUUAUUUCUAAUGAUAAAAAAGUAACUGGCUGCUUAAUUGCAGAACAUAUCCAGUGGGGAUAUAGAGUUAUUGAAGAAAAGAUUCCAGAAAUUAGUUCGGAAAAUGAGAAAGUCACCUUUGAAAGACAAAAGGCUUGGUGCUGUUCAACAUCUCCUGAGCCUGCUAUUUGUGGUAUUAGUCGCAUCUGGGUGUUUAGCAUGAUGCGAAGGAAGAAAAUUGCUUCCCGGAUGUUAGAAUGCCUGAGUUUCAAGGAUCAUCUAUAUGGUAGUGACAUGUGGAACAAGCAACUGGAAUGUUUCAGAAAAAUACCUGUAUAUAUCACUGUAUAAGGAGAUUCAAAUAUAAGACAAGGUCAUCUACCCAUGGGUUUCUGGAUGAUACUUAAAAUCCAACUGGCAACUUACAGAGAUCAAAAGAAGAGUCCGCAUGGUGCUGUCGAGCCGUGGUCCACUGCCUGUAGUACAAAGACUGCUCUUCACUGGUCAUGUCCUUAUGCAGCAAAGGCCUCAGAGAGCUCACCCAAGAAACAUCAGCAUGAGGUAAGAAAUUCUAUUGAGAGGGAACUCUGAAGGCUCUUCUCUGGGUGAAUUCUGACUGGCUCAUAAGGUUCAUAUAGAAGCAGCAGAAGUGCUUCAUUGAAUGAUCUCAGUGACUGAGAAAGCUGGCAGUUGAUAUCCCAACAUGUCUGAAAUUGCUGUGACCUAAGAGUGAACUUUACUUUGGAAACAAUGGAAACUGGAUUUCACGGGAUAAAUUUAUCAGAGAAAAAAAACCCAACAAAACAUGGCAAACUCCACACACACAAAUGAAAACAAGAAAAAACAGAAGGCAAAGGGAAGCAACUUUACCAAAAAGAUCUGCCACACUGAUAAACCCUGGAGAUAACACAACACUUUAAGAACAACCCUUGGAUUGGCAGGAGAGGAAGGAAAGAGAGGUGGAGAGCUGAGCAUUUGCCAGCUGGAAUAAUCAAGUCAAAGAAUGGACAUGAGAACAUCUAAUUUGCAAAAAAGGCUGACCUGACUAAAGAAUGCUCAAACAUUUUGAGAAUGAAUAGAAAGAGGAAGUGGAGCCAAGGAAAUUGGAAAGGUGCUUCCAUCUUUCAGAAUGACUCACAGGUGGAUCAAUCAAGUCACUAUUGAAGUAGAGGCCUUUAAUAGGUAGGUGUGUCCUACCUUGUUGACAGAUGUUAUUCAAGAUAAUAUCCAUGCCAAAGAUACAGUCCAGAAGUGUUCUUCUGACAAUUCUCAUUAUGGCCAUACUGGCUAGGAAUGAUG